CCUACGGGUGGCAGCAGUGAGGAAUAUUGGUCAAUGGGCGCGAGCCUGAACCAGCCAAGUAGCGUGAAGGAUGACGGCCCUACGGGUUGUAAACUUCUUUUGUCAGGGCGCAAUUGAGUCCACGUGUGGUCUUAGCGAGAGUACCUGAAGAAAAAGCAUCGACUAACUCCGUGCCAGCAGCCGCGGUAAUACGGGGGAGGCGAGCGUUAUCCGGAUUUAUUGGGGUUAAAGGGUGCGUAGGCGGAAUAUCAAGUCAGCGGUAAAAAUUCGGGGCUCAACCCCGUCGUGCCGUUGAAAAUGAUGUUCUUGAGUUGGCGAGAAGUAUGCGGAAUGCGGGGUGUAGCGGUGAAAUGCAUAGAUAUCACGCAGAAAUCCGAUUGCGAAGGCAGCAUACCGGCGCCCAACUGACGCUGAAGCACGAAAGCGUGGGUAUCGAACAGGAUUAGAUACCCCUGUAGUC
rnacentral:rRNA from 1 species